UACGUAGGGGGCAAGCGUUGUUCGGAAUUACUGGGCGUAAAGGGCGCGUAGGCGGCACGGCAAGUCAGGAGUGAAAGCCCUGGGCUCAACCCGGGAACUGCUUUUGAAACUGCCGAGCUAGAGUGCGGAAGGGGCAACUGGAAUUCCCAGUGUAGCGGUGAAAUGCGUAGAUAUUGGGAAGAACACCUGAGGCGAAGGCGGGUUGCUGGGCCGACACUGACGCUGAGGCGCGAAAGCGUGGGGAGCAAACAGG
rnacentral:rRNA from 1 species